UACGGAGGGGGCUAGCGUUGUUCGGAAUUACUGGGCGUAAAGCGCGCGUAGGCGGACCUGCAAGUCGGGGGUGAAAGCCCGAGGCUCAACCUCGGAACUGCCUUCGAUACUGCGGGUCUCGAGUCCGGGAGAGGUGAGUGGAAUUCCAGGUGUAGCGGUGAAAUGCGUAGAUAUCUGGAGGAACACCGGUGGCGAAGGCGGCAUCCUGGACCAAUUCUGACGCUGAGGAGCGAAAGCCAGGGGAGCAAACGGG
rnacentral:rRNA from 1 species